CAGCAGGCGCGAAAACUUUGCAAUACACGAAAGUGUGACAGGGUCAUCCCGAGUGCCGACCGCUGAGGUUGGCUUUUACCCAGUCUAGAAAGCUGGGGGAAUAAGGAGAGGGCAAGUCUGGUGUCAGCCGCCGCGGUAAUACCAGCUCUCCGAGUGGUGUGGACGUUUAUUGGGCCUAAAGCAUCCGUAGCUGGCUGAACAAGUCCCCUGUUAAACCCACCGAUUUAAUCGUUGGUCUGCGGGGGAUACUGCUCGGCUAGGGGACGAGAGAGGCAGACGGUAUUCCCGGGGUGGGGGUGAAAUCCUAUAAUCCCGAGAAGACCACCAGUGGCGAAGGCUGUCUGCUAGAACGCGCCCGACGGUGAGGGAUGAAAGCUGGGGGAGCGAACCGGAUUAGAUACCCGGGUAGUCCCAGCUGUAAACGAUGCAGACUAGGUGUUUGGACGGCCACGUGCCGUUCUAGUGCCGCAGGGAAGCUGUUAAGUCUGCCGCCUGGGGAGUACGAUCGCAAGAUUGAAACUUAAAGGAAU
rnacentral:rRNA from 1 species